rnacentral:rRNA from 1 species
UGAGAGAACUCUGGUGAAGGAACUAGGCAAAAUAGUACCGUAACUUCGGGAGAAGGUACGCUGUUGAUGGUGAAGGAUUUACUCCGUAAGCUAUCGGCAGCCUCAGAAACUAGGCCGCUGCAACUGUUUAUUAAAAACACAGCACUCUGCAAACACGAAAGUGGACGUAUAGGGUGUGAUGCCUGCCCGGUGCUGGAAGGUUAAUUGAUGGGGUUAGCGAAAGCGAAGCUCUUGAUCGAAGCCCCAGUAAACGGCGGCCGUAACAAUAACGGUCCUAAGGUAGCGAAAUUCCUUGUCGGGUAAGUUCCGACCUGCACGAAUGGCAUAAUGAUGGCGGCGCUGUCUCCACCAGAGACUCAGUGAAAUCGAAACCGCGGUGAAGAUGCCGUGUACCCGCGGCUAGACGGAAAGACCCCGUGAACCUUUACUGCAGCUUUGCACUGAACUUUGACCUUACUUGUGUAGGAUAGGUGGGAGGCUUUGAAGCUCGGACGCUAGUUCGAGUGGAGCCAUCCUUGAAAUACCACCCUGGUAAUGUCGAGGUUCUAACCCAGAUCCGUUAUCCGGAUCGGGGACAGUGUAUGGUGGGUAGUUUGACUGGGGCGGUCUCCUCCUAAAGAGUAACGGAGGAGUACGAAGGUGCGCUCAGCGUGGUCGGAAAUCACGCAAUGAGUAUAAAGGCAAAAGCGCGCUUAACUGCGAGACCGACAAGUCGAGCAGGUACGAAAGUAGGUCUUAGUGAUCCGGUGGUUCUGUAUGGAAGGGCCAUCGCUCAACGGAUAAAAGGUACUCUGGGGAUAACAGGCUGAUACCGCCCAAGAGUUCAUAUCGACGGCGGUGUUUGGCACCUCGAUGUCGGCUCAUCUCAUCCUGGGGCUGAAGCAGGUCCCAAGGGUAUGGCUGUUCGCCAUUUAAAGAGGUACGCGAGCUGGGUUUAGAACGUCGUGAGACAGUUCGGUCCCUAUCUACCGUGGGCGUUGGAGACUUGAGAGGAUCUGCUUCUAGUACGAGAGGACCGAAGUGGACGUACCUCUGGUGUUCGGGUUGUCACGCCAGUGGCACUGCCCGGUAGCUAUGUACGGACGGGAUAACCGCUGAAAGCAUCUAAGCGGGAAGCCCACCUUAAGAUAAGGUCUCCCUGGGGGUUUAACCCCCCUAAAGAGCCGUUAGAGACCAUGACGUUGAUAGGUUCGGUGUGGAAGUGCGGUGACGCAUGAAGCUAACGAAUACUAAUUGCUCGUGAGGCUUGAC